CAAAGUAGUCAAAUACGCUUUGAUAAUGCUGCGAUGUGAUGUGGAGCGAAAUCUAGUAGCGAAGUAGCUGAUUUCACACUGUCAAGAAAAGUCUCUAUCGAGGUUAAAGGUACCCGUACCGCAAACCGACACAGGUGGGUGAGGAGAGUAUCCUAAGGCCAGCGAGAGAACUGUUGUUAAGGAACUCGGCAAAAUGACCCCGUAACUUAGGGAUAAGGGGUGCCACCAUCAGGUGGCCGCAGAGAAUAGGCCCAAGCGACUGUUUACCAAAAACAUAGGUUUCUCCUAAGUCGCAAGACGAUGUAUAGGAGCUGACGCAUGCCCGGUGCUGGAAGGUUAAGGGGAUGUGUUAGAGCAAUCGAAGCAGUGAACUUAAGCCCCAGUAAACGGCGGCCGUAACUAUAACGGUCCUAAGGUAGUGAAAUUCCUUGUCGGGUAAGUUCCGACCCGCACGAAAGGCGUAACGAUUUGGGCACUGUCUCAACAACAGACUCGGUGAAAUUGUAAUUCCGGUGAAGAUGCCGGAUACCUGCGACAGGACGGAAAGACCCCAUGGAGCUUUACUGUAGCUUGACAUUGGGUCUUGGUAAUACAUGUACAGGAUAGGUGGGAGGCUUUGAAACCAGGACGCCAGUUUUGGCGGAGCCAUCCUUGGGAUACCACCCUUGUAGUACUGGGACUCUAACCAUAGGCCAUGAAUCUGGUCUUGGGACAUUGUCAGGCGGGCAGUUUGACUGGGGCGGUCGCCUCCCAAAAGGUAACGGAGGCGCUCAAAGGUUCUCUCAGUACGGUCGGAAAUCGUACGUAGAGUGUAAAGGCAAAAGAGAGCUUGAUUGCAAGACAUACAGGUCGAGCAAGGAUGAAAAUCGGACUUAGUGAUCCGGUGGUUCUGCGUGGAAGGGCCAUCGCUCAACGGAUAAAAGCUACCCUGGGGAUAACAGGCUUAUCUCCCCCAAGAGUCCACAUCGACGGGGAGGUUUGGCACCUCGAUGUCGGCUCAUCACAUCCUGGGGCUGUAGUAGGUCCCAAGGGUUGGGCUGUUCGCCCAUUAAAGUGGUACGCGAGCUGGGUUCAGAACGUCGUGAGACAGUUCGGUCCCUAUCCGUCGCAGGCGUAGGAAAUUUGAGAAGACCUGUCCUUAGUACGAGAGGACCGGGAUGGACGUACCUCUGGUGUACCAGUUGUUCUGCCAAGGGCAUGGCUGGGUAGCUAUGUACGGAAUGGAUAAGCGCUGAAAGCAUCUAAGCGCGAAGCCAACUUCAAGAUAAGAUUUCCCACCGCAAGGGUAAGACCCCAGAAAGACUAUCUGGUUGAUAGGUCGAAGGUGUAAGUGCAGCAAUGUAUUUAGCUUAUCGAUACUAAUAGGUCGAGGACUUGACC
rnacentral:rRNA from 1 species